ACCGUUGCCUGCGAGAGCUCCUAUCUAGCGCACAAGCGAAAUGCAAGCUGCGAGAUUCGGAGUCGAGCAUUGGCAUUUCGGCGCAGCUCGAAGGCCUCCGCAUCAUGUCGAAGCGAACACCGCGAGCGUUGCUUUUGCGAACAUCAUCAUGAUUCUCAGCGGAGGUGUGGUAUCGGCUAUAUGCAGCCACAACAGGUACUGCUUCGAUAGCUGGAAUCGGAAGUGCAGUGCUGGUACUCAUCGCUAUGAGAACAUCCAAUUUAAUAAGCUUGGGGGGCAAAGCCAAUCUUAAAUGAAGAACUAAUCGAAGGACCCCACCUUGAAGAGAGGAAGGAGCUGUAUCAUUAUCAUGGCAGCUUAAAGAAUAAAUUAGUGCGCGAUGGAUGCGUGACUGGAGUAGCGUCGAGUGCAUCUCAAGGCAGCGCCGGAAGUAUGCACAGAGUCGAAGCUUCAACAUGGCCACUGGAAUCCUCAUUGGCGCCUGAGUUUUGGGUCUGCGAUUGUAACGUGAUCGAGCUCUGACGUCUCAAAAGGCCGCAGGGAGGCUAUGGAAAGCCACACCACAAUGUCAAUGAGUGGAAUUAAUCAUUGAUCAUUAUUACUCUUUCCUCAAUCUCAAUUGCAAAACAACGACAGCUGUAUAAGUGCAUCAGCAUGCAUUUGCACGGUUUGUUUCCGUUUCUUUUGGAAUACUUCGAUGCAGGAUUUUCCGUUUCCAUUGUUUGAUAUAUACACAUCAAUCCAUACACACAUAACAUGAUUUGAUUGUA